GGAGCAUGGGUGCAGAUGCACGUGUGGUGAUAAGAAUAUGGAUUUCAGCAGGGCUUCCCGUCCUCAUCAACAAGCAGAAGCACCCAAAUGGUGGGGGUUGGGGGGCAGAGACCUCACAGCCAUUCCCUCCACAAAUCGAGUUCCCGGGACAUCCUCACAGCGCCGUGCUGGCACAACCAAAGGGACGUCUAUCGACCCACCCACCAAGGAUUCCCCCCCCCCCCCCCCCCCCCCCGCACGGCACAGCAGGAUGCCUGAGAGAUCCACGCAGCCCUACAGCGGCAAGUCACAUUCGCACAGUCAAAAUUCAAUGGCAGAGACAAAACGUUAAGGUCAGUG
rnacentral:lncRNA from 1 species